AAUUUGGUAAUGUAGUGGGAGAAAAUGAAUGUGAAUUGUGAUACCGGUUGUAGUACAAGUGGACGACCGUCCACCGGCCCAUCCCUUUUUGGGACAGACAACUGGAACAAAUUCAGCCCCAAGGUGAUCUUGAAGAUGGUGCCUAUUCAUUUGUAAACAGCCAUUUCUCAAGGAAGUCGAAUUAAUUUGAUUUGGAGCAUAAUUCAAUACUAUAAACAAAGCGUGAAUGCUCGUGUUCGUAGGCCCACCUCUGUUCUCCACGCUUACCAUCGCGAAGGCAAAAACAGAGGAUCUAUAAGUCUGAAAGGCGCCGGUGGCAAGUGCACGCUGCCGAGCAGGUCUGAUUGGGGCACCACAUUUUCAGUCUCCAGAGCUGAACUAUGCGUUUGUCGGCAUCAUUCUGUGUUGCAAUAGGACUUAUUCAUGAUGCCAAUGCACAGGUGAAGGCAGAUGGAGGUGGGGGCCAGGCACAGGGCUUUACCCCAGACAAGUGGCUUUUUGAGCCAAAUUAUGGGCUCCCUAUUGUCCGACGCCAGCUUAAGUAAUGCCCAGACAACUUCUAGACAUGCAUAAAAGGCAGUCCAUCGUUUUUAGUACCUAACAUACAGUGUCUUGUUUUAAGUGGCUGCACUGACAGCUGUCGUUCGCUCAAUGUAUCACCUUGCAGAACGCUCAACCAAAGCUCAUGAGCAAGUCUCUGACUGCAG
rnacentral:lncRNA from 1 species